rnacentral:rRNA from 1 species
GAUGAACGCUGGCGGCGUGCUUAACACAUUGCAAGUCGAGCGAGAAGGUAUUAGAGGAAGCUUUCGGUGGAAUUUGAUACUGGGAAGCGGCGGACGGGUGAGUAACGCGUGGGCAACCUACCAAAUGCAGAGGGAUAGCCACUGGAAACGGUGAAUAAUACCGCAUGAGGAUGUAGUGUCGCAUGACACAGCAUUCAAAACUGAGGUGGCAUUUGAUGGGCCCGCGUCUGAUUAGCUAGUUGGUGAGAUAACAGCUCACCAAGGCGACGAUCAGUAGCCGACCUGAGAGGGUGAUCGGCCACACUGGAACUGAGAGACGGUCCAGACUCCUACGGGAGGCAGCAGUGGGGGAUAUUGCACAAUGGGCGAAAGCCUGAUGCAGCAACGCCGCGUGAGCGAAGAAGGCCUUCGGGUUGUAAAGCUCUGAUCUGAGGGAAGAAGAAGUGACGGUACCUCAGGAGAAAGCCCAGGCUAACUACGUGCCAGCAGCCGCGGUAAUACGUAGGGGGCAAGCGUUAUCCGGAAUCACUGGGCGUAAAGGGAGUGUAGGCGGCCUAUCAAGUCAGAGGUAAAAGGCAACGGCUCAACCGUUGUAAGCCUUUGAAACUGGUAAGCUUGAGUGCAGGAGAGGAAAGUGGAAUUCCUAGUGUAGCGGUGAAAUGCGUAGAUAUUAGGAGGAACACCGGUGGCGAAGGCGACUUUCUGGACUGUAACUGACGCUGAGGCUCGAAAGCGUGGGUAGCGAACAGGAUUAGAUACCCUGGUAGUCCACGCUGUAAACGAUGAAUACUAGGUGUUGGGAGUCAAAUCUCGGUGCCGUAGCAAACGCAAUAAGUAUUCCGCCUGGGGAGUACGCACGCAAGUGUGAAACUCAAAGGAAUUGACGGGGACCCGCACAAGCAGCGGAGCAUGUGGUUUAAUUCGAAGCAACGCGAAGAACCUUACCAGGUCUUGACAUCCUAAUGACGAUGCUUUAAUGAGCAUUUUCCUUUCGGGGACAUUAGAGACAGGUGGUGCAUGGUUGUCGUCAGCUCGUGUCGUGAGAUGUUGGGUUAAGUCCCGCAACGAGCGCAACCCUUAUUUUUAGUUGCCAUCAGGUGAAGCUGGGCACUCUAAAGAGACUGCCAUGGAGAACAUGGAGGAAGGUGGGGAUGACGUCAAAUCAUCAUGCCCCUUACGAUCUGGGCUACACACGUGCUACGAAUGGUCGGUACGAACGGAGCAGCGAGAGAGUGACCUUUAGCGAAAUCCUAAGAAAGCCGAUCUCGAGUUCGGAUUGAAGAGCUGCAACUCGCCUUUAUGAAGCUGGAGUUGCUAGUUAAUCGCGGAUUCAGAAUGUCGCGGUGAAAUGCGUUUCCCGGGUCU